rnacentral:rRNA from 1 species
AGUGAACGCUGGCGGUAGGCCUAACACAUGCAAGUCGAACGGCAGCACAGAGGAGCUUGCUCCUUGGGCGGCGAGUGGCGGACGGGUGAGGAAUACAUCGGAAUCUACUCUGUCGUGGGGGAUAACGUAGGGAAACUUACGCUAAUACCGCAUACGACCUACGGGUGAAAGCAGGGGAUCUUCGGACCUUGCGCGAUUGAAUGAGCCGAUGUCGGAUUAGCUAGUUGGCGGGGUAAAGGCCCACCAAGGCGACGAUCCGUAGCUGGUCUGAGAGGAUGAUCAGCCACACUGGAACUGAGACACGGUCCAGACUCCUACGGGAGGCAGCAGUGGGGAAUAUUGGACAAUGGGCGCAAGCCUGAUCCAGCCAUACCGCGUGGGUGAAGAAGGCCUUCGGGUUGUAAAGCCCUUUUGUUGGGAAAGAAAUCCAUCUGGUUAAUACCCGGGUGGGAUGACGGUACCCAAAGAACAAGCACCGGCUAACUACGUGCCAGCCGCCGCAGUAA